rnacentral:rRNA from 1 species
UACAGAGGGUGCAAGCGUUAAUCGGAAUUACUGGGCGUAAAGCGCGCGUAGGUGGUUCGUUAAGUUGGAUGUGAAAUCCCCGGGCUCAACCUGGGAACUGCAUUCAAAACUGACGGGCUAGAGUAUGGUAGAGGGUGGUGGAAUUUCCUGUGUAGCGGUGAAAUGCGUAGAUAUAGGAAGGAACACCAGUGGCGAAGGCGACCACCUGGACUGAUACUGACACUCGAGGUGCGACAGCGUGGGAGCAAACAGG